rnacentral:tRNA from 1 species
GCCUCCUUAGCUCAGUUGGUAGAGCAACUGAUUUGUAAUCAGUAGGUCGCUGGUUCGAGUCCGGCAGGAGGCU